rnacentral:rRNA from 1 species
AUUGAACGCUGGCGGCAGGCCUAACGCAUGCAAGUCGAGCGGAUGAAGGGAGCUUGCUCCUGGAUUCAGCGGCGGACGGGUGAGUAAUGCCUAGGAAUCUGCCUGGUAGUGGGGAAUAACGUCCGGAAACGGGCGCUAAUACCGCAUACGUCCUGAGGGAGAAAGUGGGGGAUCUUCGGACCUCACGCUAUCAGAUGAGCCUAGGUCGGAUUAGCUAGUUGGUGGGGUAAAGGCCUACCAAGGCGACGAUCCGUAACUGGUCUGAGAGGAUGAUCAGUCACACUGGAACUGAGACACGGUCCAGACUCCUACGGGAGGCAGCAGUGGGGAAUAUUGGACAAUGGGCGAAAGCCUGAUCCAGCCAUGCCGCGUGUGUGAAGAAGGUCUUCGGAUUGUAAAGCACUUUAAGUUGGGAGGAAGGGCAGUAAGUUAAUACCUUGCUGUUUUGACGUUACCAACAGACUAAGCACCGGCUAACUUCGUG